UUUAUACUACCUCUGUCCCAAAUUACUUUUUUAGAUUUGUCCAGAUACAUAUAUAUUUAGACAUGUCUUAGUGUUACAUAUGUCUGUAUUUACACAAAUUUAAGACAAGUAAUUUGGGACAAAGGUAAUAUUAA
rnacentral:pre_miRNA from 1 species